rnacentral:rRNA from 1 species
UGCAUAUCCAAAAGCGGAGGAAAAGAAACUAACAGAGGAUCACCUUGUAACGGCGAGUGAAGAGGGAAAAGCCCAAAUUUGUAAUCUGGCUCUUUUAUAAGGGUCCGAGUUGUAAUUUUGAGAACUGUUUUCCGUGCUGGACCAUGUACAAGUCUGUUGAAAAACAGCAUCAUUGAGGGUGAUAAUCCCGGACAUGAUAUGGACUACCAGGGCAAUGUGAUACAGUCUCUAAGAGUCGAGUUGUUUGGGAAUGCAGCUCAAAGUGGGUGGUAAAUUCCAUCUAAGGCUAAAUAUAGGUGAGAGACCGAUAGCAAACAAGUACCGUGAGGGAAAGAUGAAAAGAACUUUGGAAAGAGAGUUAACAGUACGUGAAAUUGUUAAAAGGGAAACAUUUGAAGUUAGACUUGUUAUUGUUGGUUCAGCUCUUUUUAUAAGGGUGUAUUCCAAUGGUUAACAGACCAGCAUCAAUUUUUGGGUGUUAGAUAAGGGUCUUGAGAAUGUAGCAACCUCGGUUGUGUUAUAGAUCUUGACUUGAUAUAAUGCUUAGGAUUGAGGAACGCAGUGAGCUUCUUUUGAAGUGGAUCCUCUUGGGGAUCUUCUCACUACGGAUGUGGGUGUAAUASMUUUAAAUGACCCGUCUUGAA